CUCCCCCAGUGAUGUUUGUGAAGAAGAAGUCAGGGGAACUACGCUUGGUGGUGGACUACAGAGCAUUGAACAAUAUCACCAAGCGGAACAGCUAUCCCCUGCCCUUAAUCUCGGAUCUACUGGAUCGGCUUCGAGGAGCCAAGGUUUACACCAAGCUGGAUCUUCGGGGGGCUUACAACUUAGUUCGCAUCAGGGAAGGGGACGAGUGGAAGACCGCCUUCCAGACCAAAUUCGGAUUAUUCGAGUCCCGAGUUAUGAAUUUCGGUUUAUGCGGAGCUCCCGCAACGUUCCAGCAUUUUAUCAAAAGCGCAUUUUUCCAGCUUGGCAUAAAGUCCAUGAUCCCGCAAUCGUUGUAACACCAUUUUGACGUGGUUCUCAUGUUCUGAUUGUGAUCUAGAAAACACCAAAAAAUCGUCCAGGUAGAUUAUCAAGAACCUAUCUAGAUAGUCCUGGAAAAUGUCAUUGACAAAAUGCUGGAACGUUGCGGGAGCUCCGCAUAAUCCAUAAUUCAUAACUCGGGACUCGAAUAAUCCGAAUUUAGUCUGGAAGGCGGUCUUCCACUCGUCCCCUUCUCUGAUGCGAACUAAGUUGUAAGCUCCCCGAAGAUCCAGCUUGGUGUAAACCUUGGCUCCUCGAAGUCGGUCUAGUAGAUCCGAGAUUAAGGGCAGGGGGUAGCUGUUCCGCUUGGUGAUAUUAUUCAAUGCUCUGUCGUCCACCACCAAGCGUAAUUCCCCUGACUUCUUCUUCACAAACAUCACUGGGGAGGCGGCUGGGGAUUGAGAGGGUCUGAUGAAUCCCUUGCGAAGGUUUGUCUCUAUGAAUUCCCUGAGAGCUUCUUGCUCUGGUUCAGUCAGGGAGUAGAGAUGCCCUCGCGGGAUCGGGGCCCCCUCCACCAAGUCAAUGGCACAGUCAUAAGGUCUAUGUGGGGGUAACCUUUCGGCUUCUUUUUCAUUGAAUACAUCCCAAUACUCGGAGUACUUCUUUGGCAAGGUAAUAAUGGGCUCGGUGUCUGUGGCAUGGCAGACCUUGGCUACGAGGCAAUGAUUUUGGCAGUACUUUGAAGCAAACUGCAGUUCUCUGUUGGACCAGGAGAUGCUUGGGUCGUGAAGUGUCAGCCAUGGAAUCCCCAAAAUCACAGGGAAAUGGGGAACCUCAGUAACAAAGAAGGAAAUCUCUUCCAUAUGUUCCCUUAUCCACAUCCUGGUGGGUUCCGACCACUGGCUUACGGGGCCCGUCUUGAGAGGGCGACCAUCAAUGGCUUGCACCACACGGGCAUUCUUGAAGUCAUGAUAUUGUAAUCCCAGAGAGUCGGCAUACUCUCUAUCAAUGAAAUUGUUGGUAGCUCCUGAGUCUAUCAUGGCGUGGAUCAUGACGGGUCCCCUUUUUGCUGACCAUAAGGUGACCACUAGAAGGAACAGGACCCCGGUUGGCGGCUCUUGAACGGGUUUCUUGACCGGGUUGGCGAGCCUCUCUACGCCCGGUCGUUGGCUUCCCCCGCCGGCUGUGUGCCAGCCGCCUCAGACGCCUUCGUCUCCGUGGAGGACGCCGCCGCAAGACGGGCGGCGGGCUUCCCUUUGGCUGGGCACUCUCUGGCGAAGUGGCCCCCAUUUCCGCAAUACCAACAGAGAUUUAGGCGUUGGCGGCGGGCCUUCUCGGCGGCAUCUAAUCUGGGACGCACAUUGCCCAACUGCAUCGGCACCUCCUCGCUCCCUCUGGGGUAUGGGGAUGGUGGUGGGGGUCUCCACACUGGACGCGGCUGAACGCUGGCGGGAGCGGGGGGUUUUGCCCCAGCUCUACCGCUCUGGCCUCGUACCCACUGUUUCCUGUUGGCAAUCAUGACUUCAGCCCGUAAACAUUGAUCGAUGAGUGCUUCAAGCGUUUGGGGAGGAUCCACCUUGGAGAUUUCCUCCAGCAUUUCAAUGUUGAGACCCUCCCGAAAUUGUCCUCUGAGGGCAACAUCGUUCCAGCCGGUGUUGUGGGCCAGCACUCGGAACUCGGCUAUGUACUGAGACAUGGGUCUGUCUCCUUGGAAGAGGCGGCGGAGUUUGUGACCGGCUGCCUCCAAAUUGUCCUCGAUUCCCCAGGUCGCCUUAAGGUGGUCCAAGAAAUGUUGCGCUGACCUUAGAUGUGGGGAGGCUUGGUCGAACAGAGCCGUCGCCCAGUUAGCCGCUGGCCCGUCUAGGAGACUGUAAAUCCACGCCACCUUGAUGUCUUCCUGGGGAAACUCGGCAUCACGGGCCUCUAGAUAAGCUUGGCAUUGGCGACGGAAAACAUGAACCUUAGAAGCUUCUCCAGUAAAUUUGGUUGGCAACGCCAUGGCCGGAAGACGGAUUCCGCGUUCCUUCAAACCCUUUAUUUCCCCAUCCUGUGCAUUGAGCUUAUCACGGAUUCGGUCCACCUCAUCCUUGUCGAUGGUGUAGGUAAUCGGCUGGCCGCUCGGCCCAGGUACGGUUCCGGUAGACAUUCUGGCCGAGGUUAAUUGGUGCUUAGGGUGGCGGAGUCAAACUGUCACGACCCAGACUACAGAGCACCAAUAACCAUACGCAGAGGCCAGAUUCUAUCUAAUAUCUUUAUUAAAGAAAUAUAUAAAGUUAGUAAAAGCAAAUGUAAAAGUUAGUCCAGAAGCAGACCUUUCAGGAAAGGUCAAAAUUAGUCCAAAGAAACAAUGUCCAAUAUGAAAUAUUAAGGUCCAAAGUUGUAAUCCAAUAACCGAAACACUCACUUUGCCAGGCAAAGUGAGGGGAGAUGACAAGGUCCUUUAGUCCAUGAACUUGAGCAAGGCUAGGAAAUAACUUGAUACAUGAAACAAGGCUUGAAACGUGGAACAAGGUAACGAGGAACAAGAACAAGGUCCGUGGAAUAACUUGGUAAAAUCCGUGAAACAAGGCAAGGGUUAGUCCUGGGAAACAAGGCAAGAUCCGUAGGUAAACAAAGGCUGGGAAACAGGAACGAAGGCUGGAAACAAGGCAAGGCUUGAGCAGGAACGAGGCUUGAAUCGGAGCGCGCUGUCCAGACACAACUCGCUCCGGAGGCUGACGAAUUGACUCCGCGAAGUUACUACGCGGGUAAAACACCUAUAAAGAGUCUAACUUUCCCGCCGAAGCAGUUCUCUGGGAACCAGAAACGAAAGCUAAACUCUGAGACCAGAUGUCUGACUCCUUAAAGAUUCUCACGAAAAGCAGACUUAAUUGGGUACAUUCUUAGCUGCUAUCCUCGCACUCCUGUGCGAAGCUGCUUCCAAACCCCUCUGUUGUUUACAAAACUCAUGGCGAGAGAACACGGGAGAUGUAGGCUCAGGGUUUGUUUGACAUACUUCUGGGACACAACUUUCUUGCAGGUGCAAGGUUCCCAGAUCUGCCUGGGAAAGAUCUGGCUGAGAAGAUUCCAGUUCUGACUGGGAAGGUAAAAAACCCAAGUUUUCUUCUUCAUCAGGCAUUACAAUGUCAUGAGCAGGACUACAAGGCCCAUGAGUCAUCACAAAAUGGCAGAAAUUCAAUGCCUAAAAACAAUGUAAAAACAACAAUUCAUAUAAAACAAUCUACAAAACAACAGUUCAUAUAA
rnacentral:lncRNA from 1 species